UACAAGGUGCUGCAUGGUUUGUCGUCAGCUCGUACCGUGAGGUGUCGGGUUAAGUCCCAUAACGAGCGCAACCCCUAUCAUUAGUUGCCAUCAGGUCAAGCUGGGGACUCUAAUGAAACUGCCUACGCAAGUAGUGAGGAAGGUGGGGAUGACGUCAAGUCAUCAUGGCCCUUACGGCCUGGGCUACACACGUGCUACAAUGGUCGGUACAAAGGGUUGCCAAGCCGCGAGGUGGAGCUAAUCCCAUAAAACCGAUCGUAGUCCGGAUCGCAGUCUGCAACUCGACUGCGUGAAGUCGGAAUCGCUAGUAAUCGUGAAUCAGAAUGUCACGGUGAAUACGUUCCCGGGCCUU
rnacentral:rRNA from 1 species